GACGAACGCUGGCGGCGUGCCUAAUACAUGCAAGUCGAGCGAGCGGAACUAACAGAUUUACUUCGGUAAUGACGUUAGGAAAGCGAGCGGCGGAUGGGUGAGUAACACGUGGGGAACCUGCCCCAUAGUCUGGGAUACCACUUGGAAACAGGUGCUAAUACCGGAUAAGAAAGCAGAUCGCAUGAUCAGCUUUUAAAAGGCGGCGUAAGCUGUCGCUAUGGGAUGGCCCCGCGGUGCAUUAGCUAGUUGGUAAGGUAAAGGCUUACCAAGGCGAUGAUGCAUAGCCGGGUUGAGAGACUGAUCGGCCACAUUGGGACUGAGACACGGCCCAAACUCCUACGGGAGGCAGCAGUAGGGAAUCUUCCACAAUGGACGCAAGUCUGAUGGAGCAACGCCGCGUGAGUGAAGAAGGUUUUCGGAUCGUAAAGCUCUGUUGUUGGUGAAGAAGGAUAGAGGUAGUAACUGGCCUUUAUUUGACGGUAAUCAACCAGAAAGUCACGGCUAACUACGUGCCAGCAGCCGCGGUAAUACGUAGGUGGCAAGCGUUGUCCGGAUUUAUUGGGCGUAAAGCGAGCGCAGGCGGAAGAAUAAGUCUGAUGUGAAAGCCCUCGGCUUAACCGAGGAACUGCAUCGGAAACUGUUUUUCUUGAGUGCAGAAGAGGAGAGUGGAACUCCAUGUGUAGCGGUGGAAUGCGUAGAUAUAUGGAAGAACACCAGUGGCGAAGGCGGCUCUCUGGUCUGCAACUGACGCUGAGGCUCGAAAGCAUGGGUAGCGAACAGGAUUAGAUACCCUGGUAGUCCAUGCCGUAAACGAUGAGUGCUAAGUGUUGGGAGGUUUCCGCCUCUCAGUGCUGCAGCUAACGCAUUAAGCACUCCGCCUGGGGAGUACGACCGCAAGGUUGAAACUCAAAGGAAUUGACGGGGGCCCGCACAAGCGGUGGAGCAUGUGGUUUAAUUCGAAGCAACGCGAAGAACCUUACCAGGUCUUGACAUCUAGUGCCAUUUGUAGAGAUACAAAGUUCCCUUCGGGGACGCUAAGACAGGUGGUGCAUGGCUGUCGUCAGCUCGUGUCGUGAGAUGUUGGGUUAAGUCCCGCAACGAGCGCAACCCUUGUUAUUAGUUGCCAGCAUUAAGUUGGGCACUCUAAUGAGACUGCCGGUGACAAACCGGAGGAAGGUGGGGAUGACGUCAAGUCAUCAUGCCCCUUAUGACCUGGGCUACACACGUGCUACAAUGGGCAGUACAACGAGAAGCGAGCCUGCGAAGGCAAGCGAAUCUCUGAAAGCUGUUCUCAGUUCGGACUGCAGUCUGCAACUCGACUGCACGAAGCUGGAAUCGCUAGUAAUCGCGGAUCAGCACGCCGCGGUGAAUACGUUCCCGGGCCU
rnacentral:rRNA from 1 species